UUUAUUUGCCAUAGACAACUUGUGCAUAAUGUGGUAAGUAGUAAAUGACAAGUUAUUGUUUAAAUAAAUGUCACUGAACUUCAAAACCUACAUUUUUGCUUUUAUAACAUCCGAUCUUUUUUCGCAGAUUAUAGAUUUGUCUGGUCAAUUAGUUUGCCCCGAACGCCGCUAUGGGCAGAACCACAAAGCGGCGUACAAAAAACAUACGUAAACGGCGUAAAGUAGGUACAAGCUGCCUUACAAUAUCACUAUCACCAUAGCACCAAAUCGAGAAACCUGGCUUGGCGAAAUGUUUUGUAUAAUACACAUACUGCUGAAACGUCAAACGGUUCAACGAAUGCAGACUGAUCAUCAAGCACAAACGUCGGUGUCAGAUGUCCAUAACGGACGUGUACUCCCAAAGGACACGAGGCAGCAUACAAAUCAAUAAAAAUAAUUUGUAUAUAAAUGCAGUAAAUA